GACGAACCGUGCGAACGUUGUUCGGAUUCACUGGGCUUAAAGGGCGCGUAGGCGGCUUGCCAAGUCCGGGGUGAAAUCUUUCGGCUCAACCGGAAAAGUGCCUUGGAUACUGGCGGGCUAGAGGGAGGUAGGGGUGCGUGGAACUUCUGGUGGAGCGGUGAAAUGCGUAGAUAUCAGAAGGAACGCCGGUGGCGAAAGCGACGCACUGGAUCUCUACUGACGCUGAGGCGCGAAAGCCAGGGGAG
rnacentral:rRNA from 1 species